CUGACGGCACCGCGUGGGCUGAUAUAGGAAUGAAAGCCCUGGCCCUCUUUCGAGGAAAGGCUCGAAAGGGGGCCCGCGUGACCGUCAG
rfam:Ferroglobus placidus DSM 10642, complete genome.